rnacentral:pre_miRNA from 1 species
AGUUGUACAUCGUGUUUUAGUCCAAUAUCUUUAGUUGUACAUCGAUGUACAACUAAAGAUAUUGGACUAAAACACAAUGUACAACU